UGGUGGAGCGAUUUGUCUGGUUAAUUCCGAUAACGAACGAGACUCUAGCCUGCUAAAUAGUCCGCAGAUCGCAUCGUCUGCAGCACCUCUUAGAGGGACAAGCGGCAUUUAGCCGCACGAAAAUGAGCAAUAACA
rnacentral:rRNA from 1 species